rnacentral:ncRNA from 1 species
CAUAGGUUUGGUCCUGGCCUUUCUAUUAGUUAUUAAUAAAAUUACACAUGCAAGAAUCCUCGCCCCAGUGAAAAUGCCCUCUAAACCACCCAUGGUGCAAAGGAGCUGGUAUCAAGCACACUAAAAGUAGCUCAAGACACCUUGCUCAGCCACACCCCCACGGGAUACAGCAGUGAUAAAAAUUUAGCAAUAAAUGAAAGUCUGACUAAGUUAUAUUACAGAGGACUGGUAAAUCUCGUGCCAGCCACCGCGGUCAUACGAUUAGACCAAACUAAUAGAGAUACGGCGUAAAGAGUGUAAUAGAACUAAAAAUUAAUAAAGUCAAAUCUUAACUGAGCCGUAAAAAGCCCUCGUUACUGUAAGAUAUACCACGAAAGUGACUUUAAAAAAUCUGAUUACACGAUAGCUAAAACCCAAACUGGGAUUAGAUACCCCACUAUGCUUAGCCCUAAACACAGAGAAUUCAAAACAAAUCCAUUCGCCAGAGCACUACCAGCCAAAGCUAGAAACUCAAAGGACUUGGCGGUGUCUUGUAUCCCUCUAGAGGAGCCUGUUCCAUAAUCGAUAAACCCCGAUAUACCUUACCAACUCUUGCUAAAUCAGCCUAUAUACCGCCAUCUUCAGCAAACCCUAAAAAGGAAGUGCAGUAAGCAAAACUAUUAACAUAAAAACGUUAGGUCAAGGUGUAGCCCAUGAGUAGGAGAGAAAUGGGCUACAUUCCCCAUGCCCGGGGCAUUACUUACGAAAACCCAUGUGAAAUCAUGAGCUAAAGGUGGAUCUAGCAGUAAAUUAGGAAUAGAGUGCCUAAUUGAAUAAGGCCACAAGACACGCACACACCGCCCGUCACCCUCCUCAAAUAAACAUGUAUAUCAAUCAAUUUAUAAAUCUAAAAUACAAUUACGUGAGAGGAGACAAGUCGUAACAAGGUAAGUGUACUGGAAAGUGCACUUGGAUAAU